ensembl:lncRNA novel transcript
GCUGGUGGUGAAAAUUCCUGGAGCCCUUUUCUGCCUAUCAAGCCAAACCUCCUCGUUCAGCUCAUCGGAACACUCAUUCUGUUUUACAAGAAUGAGUUAUUGCCCAAUUCUUGAGUCACAAAUAAAAGCCGAUUAAGAUUUUU